rnacentral:rRNA from 1 species
AGUGAACGCUGGCGGUAGGCCUAACACAUGCAAGUCGAACGGCAGCACAGGAGAGCUUGCUCUCUGGGUGGCGAGUGGCGGACGGGUGAGGAAUACAUCGGAAUCUACUCUGUCGUGGGGGAUAACGUAGGGAAACUUACGCUAAUACCGCAUACGACCUACGGGUGAAAGCGGGGGAUCUUCGGACCGCGCGCGAUUGAAUGAGCCGAUGUCGGAUUAGCUAGUUGGCGGGGUAAAGGCCCACCAAGGCGACGAUCCGUAGCUGGUCUGAGAGGAUGAUCAGCCACACUGGAACUGAGACACGGUCCAGACUCCUACGGGAGGCAGCAGUGGGGGAUAUUGGACAAUGGGCGCAAACCUGAUCCAGCCAUACCGCGUGGGUGAAGAAGGCCUUCGGGUUGUAAAGCCCUUUUGUUGGGAAAGAAAUCCAGCUGGCUAAUACCCGGUUGGGAUGACGGUACCCAAAGAAUAAGCACCGGCUAACUUCGUGCCAGCCGCCGCCGUAA